GGAGUGCCCGGCGCCCCGCUCCGCCCACGGAGCGCGGGGGCGGCUGUCCCGAGGCGCCCGGCUGAGGUUCUGAAGUUGAACACCAUUUUGUCAACUGGACAAGGAAGGAAAGGGUGUCGCAGUCCCUCCCUGGUGGUGACACUGCCUUAUGGUGUCUAAAGACUCUUCUGGUUCCCCCCGCCCCGCCCCCCGCUCUUCGAUGUGGGGACCCUGGGGCUGCCGCAGUCCUGAGUGCAGGUCACAGGUAAUAGCAAGGUUCCCCCCUUUCUGAUGUUAAAGGAAGAAACAUUCAAACCUGUUGAGACAUCUUUAACGUUAUUUGAACCAAACUGAUGACAAUUGACUGAAAACAAAAAGUCAACUGGGUGACAGGAUGCUUCGGAAGAUGAGAGUUCUCCCACUGGUUUUCUACAUCAGAAUCAAAAGACAACACCCCCAUCUGUGCUCUUUCAUCUGGGGUUGCUGGGCUGCAGCAGGACUUGAAGGUGCACCUGGUACCAUGAGGAGCAAUGGGUAUUCGUUGAGUUUGGCAGCUCUCGGAAGCCAAAAACAAGAGAACGAGUGAUGAGAUUUCCCAUGUCUUGGCCAUGCAACCUGGGUUUAAAUUGUAGUUUAUUGACCAUAAUUAUGGUUACAGGAAAAUGAUUCACCUUAUAAGCCUCAGUAUUUUCCUGUGUAAAUAGUGGUAAAAAGCAAACGAGCCUGAGGUGAGUGGCACAGUGGGUUGAAUGUUGUCCUGCAACCCAAAAGGUUGUAUGUUCAAUUCCUGAUCAAGGCACAUGGCAGUGUUUUGGUCCAGUUCCCAAGUUAGGGGAAUGGGAGAGGUAAACAGUUAAUGUUUUUUUGCUUUUAUAUUUCUCUCCCUCCCUUUCUCCCUUCCUUACCCUCUCUAAAAUCCAGAGAAUAAAAUAUUUUUAAGAAAGAGCAGUUUUCACCCUAAAUGAAAAUUUUUCAAGGCUUGCUUUUUCAUCAUUAUUAUUAUUUUAAUCCUAACAGCACCUGGGAAUUAGUAACUAUUAUUGCAUUUCUUGGGAAAAUAGGAUUGAGAAGAGGAAGAAAUUUUUCCUAGGUCACAGAGCGGACAAUUGUCAAAUUGAAGUGGCUGGAUUUGAAUGUGUGAGUCUGUCUCCAGAGCUGGGGACACUCUCAACCUUAGCACAUUAGACCCUUAGCACAAGGCAGGAGGAGAGCAA